rnacentral:rRNA from 1 species
GAUAAGCGCUGGAAACGGCGUCUAAUACUGGAUACGAGUAGCGACCGCAUGGUCAGUUACUGGAAAGAUUUAUUGGUUGGGGAUGGGCUCGCGGCCUAUCAGCUUGUUGGUGAGGUAAUGGCUCACCAAGGCGUCGACGGGUAGCCGGCCUGAGAGGGUGACCGGCCACACUGGGACUGAGACACGGCCCAGACUCCUACGGGAGGCAGCAGUGGGGAAUAUUGCACAAUGGGCGCAAGCCUGAUGCAGCAACGCCGCGUGAGGGAUGACGGCCUUCGGGUUGUAAACCUCUUUUAGCAGGGAAGAAGCGAAAGUGACGGUACCUGCAGAAAAAGCGCCGGCUAACUACGUGCCAGCAGCCGCGGUAAUACGUAGGGCGCAAGCGUUAUCCGGAAUUAUUGGGCGUAAAGAGCUCGUAGGCGGUUUGUCGCGUCUGCUGUGAAAUCCGGAGGCUCAACCUCCGGCCUGCAGUGGGUACGGGCAGACUAGAGUGCGGUAGGGGAGAUUGGAAUUCCUGGUGUAGCGGUGGAAUGCGCAGAUAUCAGGAGGAACACCGAUGGCGAAGGCAGAUCUCUGGGCCGUAACUGACGCUGAGGAGCGAAAGGGUGGGGAGCAAACAGGCUUAGAUACCCUGGUAGUCCACCCCGUAAACGUUGGGAACUAGUUGUGGGGUCCAUUCCACGGAUUCCGUGACGCAGCUAACGCAUUAAGUUCCCCGCCUGGGGAGUACGGCCGCAAGGCUAAAACUCAAAGGAAUUGACGGGGACCCGCACAAGCGGCGGAGCAUGCGGAUUAAUUCGAUGCAACGCGAAGAACCUUACCAAGGCUUGACAUAUACGAGAACGGGCCAGAAAUGGUCAACUCUUUGGACACUC